rnacentral:sRNA from 1 species
UGAGUCCCUUGGUUUUGAGCUUACUGUGGAGAGAUUAGUUUCUAUUGGCUAUCCCCAGGAGUUGCUCAGCUUUGCUUAUGAUUCUACAUUCCCUACCAGGGGACUUGUCUUUGACACACUGUAUGGAAAUCUUUUGAAAGUCGAUGCCUAUGGAAACCUCUUGGUCUGUGCACAUGGAUUUAACUUUAUAAGGGGACCAGAAACUAGAGAACAGUAUCCAAAUAAAUUUAUCCAGCGAGAUGAUACUGAAAGAUUUUACAUUCUGAACACACUAUUCAACCUACCAGAGACCUACCUGUUGGCCUGCCUAGUAGAUUUUUUUACUAAUUGUCCCAGAUAUACCAGUGAAUUUAGUGCUAGUGAGAGAUGCCACAUUGCCAACCUGAGAGAUGGGACAGCACCAGCAGCUCCAUGCAGGCUC